rnacentral:rRNA from 1 species
UUUAUGGAGAGUUUGAUCCUGGCUCAGGAUGAACGCUGGCGGCGUGCUUAACACAUGCAAGUCGAACGGUGAAGCCCAGCUUGCUGGGUGGAUCAGUGGCGAACGGGUGAGUAACACGUGAGCAAUCUGCCCCUGACUCUGGGAUAAGCGCUGGAAACGGCGUCUAAUACUGGAUACGAACCGUGAUCGCAUGUUCAACGGUUGGAAAGAUUUUUUGGUCAGGGAUGAGCUCGCGGCCUAUCAGCUUGUUGGUGAGGUAAUGGCUCACCAAGGCGUCGACGGGUAGCCGGCCUGAGAGGGUGACCGGCCACACUGGGACUGAGACACGGCCCAGACUCCUACGGGAGGCAGCAGUGGGGAAUAUUGCACAAUGGGCGGAAGCCUGAUGCAGCAACGCCGCGUGAGGGACGACGGCCUUCGGGUUGUAAACCUCUUUUAGCAGGGAAGAAGCGAAAGUGACGGUACCUGCAGAAAAAGCGCCGGCUAACUACGUGCCAGCAGCCGCGGUAAUACGUAGGGCGCAAGCGUUAUCCGGAAUUAUUGGGCGUAAAGAGCUCGUAGGCGGUUUGUCGCGUCUGCUGUGAAAUCCCGAGGCUCAACCUCGGGCCUGCAGUGGGUACGGGCAGACUAGAGUGCGGUAGGGGAGAUUGGAAUUCCUGGUGUAGCGGUGGAAUGCGCAGAUAUCAGGAGGAACACCGAUGGCGAAGGCAGAUCUCUGGGCCGUAACUGACGCUGAGGAGCGAAAGGGUGGGGAGCAAACAGGCUUAGAUACCCUGGUAGUCCACCCCGUAAACGUUGGGAACUAGUUGUGGGGUCCAUUCCACGGAUUCCGUGACGCAGCUAACGCAUUAAGUUCCCCGCCUGGGGAGUACGGCCGCAAGGCUAAAACUCAAAGGAAUUGACGGGGACCCGCACAAGCGGCGGAGCAUGCGGAUUAAUUCGAUGCAACGCGAAGAACCUUACCAAGGCUUGACAUACACGAGAACGCUGCAGAAAUGUAGAACUCUUUGGACACUCGUGAACAGGUGGUGCAUGGUUGUCGUCAGCUCGUGUCGUGAGAUGUUGGGUUAAGUCCCGCAACGAGCGCAACCCUCGUUCUAUGUUGCCAGCACGUAAUGGUGGGAACUCAUGGGAUACUGCCGGGGUCAACUCGGAGGAAGGUGGGGAUGACGUCAAAUCAUCAUGCCCCUUAUGUCUUGGGCUUCACGCAUGCUACAAUGGCCGGUACAAAGGGCUGCGAUACCGUAAGGUGGAGCGAAUCCCAAAAAGCCGGUCCCAGUUCGGAUUGAGGUCUGCAACUCGACCUCAUGAAGUCGGAGUCGCUAGUAAUCGCAGAUCAGCAACGCUGCGGUGAAUACGUUCCCGGGUCUUGUACACACCGCCCGUCAAGUCAUGAAAGUCGGUAACACCUGAAGCCGGUGGCCCAACCCUUGUGGAGGGAGCCGUCGAAGGUGGGAUCGGUAAUUAGGACUAAGUCGUAACAAGGUAGCCGUACCGGAAGGUGCGGCUGGAUCACCUCCUUU